AGAGUUUGAUCCUGGCUCAGGAUGAACGCUAAGGCUUAAUAUGCAAGUCGAGGGGCAGCACGAGUAGCAAUACUUGGUGGCGACCGGCGCACGGGUGCGUAACGCGUAUGCAACCUACCUUUAACAGGAGUAUAGCUCAGAGAAAUCUGAAUUAACCCUCCAUAAGACAGUAGAUAGGCAUCUAUCAGUUGUUAAAAAUUUAUUGGUUAGAGAUGGGCAUGCGUGUCAUUAGCUAGUUGGAGAGGUAACGGCUCACCAAGGCGACGAUGACUAGGGGAUCUGAGAGGAUAAUCCCCCACACUGGUACUGAGACACGGACCAGACUCCUGCGGGAGGCAGCAGUAAGGAAUAUUGGGCAAUGGAGGCAACUCUGACCCAGCCAUGCCGCGUGCAGGACUAAGGCCCUAUGGGUCGUAAACUGCUUUUGUACGGGAAUAAUUGUCAAUACGUGUAUUGGCUUGAAGGUACCGUAAGAAUAAGGAUCGGCUAACUCCGUGCCAGCAGCCGCGGUAAUACGGAGGAUCCAAGCGUUAUCCGGAUUCACUGGGUUUAAGGGGUGCGUAGGCGGAUUGAUAAGUCAGUGGUGAAAUCCUGCAGCUUAACUGCAGAACUGCCAUUGAUACUGUUAGUCUUGAAUUUGAUUGAAGUGGCUGGAAUGUGUCAUGCAGCGGUGAAAUGCUUAGAUAUGACACAGAACACCGACAGCGAAGGCAGGUCACUAAGUCAACAUUGACGCUGAGGCACGAAAGCGUGGGGAUCAAACAGGAUUAGAUACCCUGGUAGUCCACGCCCUAAACGAUGAUUACUCGUUGUUGGCGAUAUACAGUCAGUGACUGAGCGAAAGCAUUAAGUAAUCCACCUGGGGAGUACGUUCGCAAGAAUGAAACUCAAAGGAAUUGACGGGGGCCCGCACAAGCGAGAGCAUGUGUUUACUCGAUGUACGCGAGA
rnacentral:rRNA from 1 species